rnacentral:rRNA from 2 species
CGACCCCAGGUCAGGCGGGGUUACCCGCUGAAUUUAAGCAUAUCAAUAAGCGGAGG